GCUCAGUUUAGAGCAGAAACUCUAAUGCUGACCAACUGGGGAAAAGUUCAGUUUAGGGUUGGGGCCCUAAUGCUGAGUGAAUGGACAGAAGUUCAGUUUAGGGUUUAAAACCCUAAUGCUGACUCAAUGGAAAAAUUUCAGUUUAGGGUUUAAAACCCUAAUGCUGACUGAAAGGAAAAAGUUCAGUUUAGGGUUUAAAACCCUAAUGCUAACUAAAUGGAGAAGUUUAGUUUAGGGUUUAAAACCCUAAUGCUGACUAAAGGAAAAGUUCAGUUUAGGGUUUAAGACCCUAAUGCUGACUAAAGGAAAAGUUC
rnacentral:lncRNA from 1 species